rnacentral:rRNA from 2 species
AACGAACGCUGGCGGCAGGCUUAACACAUGCAAGUCGAGCGCCCCGCAAGGGGAGCGGCAGACGGGUGAGUAACGCGUGGGAAUCUACCCAUCUCUACGGAAUAACGCAUGGAAACGUGUGCUAAUACCGUAUACGUCCUUCGGGAGAAAGAUUUAUCGGAGAUGGAUGAGCCCGCGUUGGAUUAGCUAGUUGGUGGGGUAAAGGCCUACCAAGGCGACGAUCCAUAGCUGGUCUGAGAGGAUGAUCAGCCACACUGGGACUGAGACACGGCCCAGACUCCUACGGGAGGCAGCAGUGGGGAAUAUUGGGCAAUGGGCGCAAGCCCGAUCCAGCCAUGCCGCGUGAGUGAUGAAGGCCCUAGGGUUGUAAAGCUCUUUCACCGGUGAAGAUAAUGACGGUAACCGGAGAAGAAGCCCCGGCUAACUUCGUGCCAGCCGCCGCGGUAA